GACGCACGCUGGCGGCGUGCUUAACACAUGCAAGUCGAACGGAAAGGCCCUGCUUUUGUGGGGUGCUCGAGUGGCGAACGGGUGAGUAACACGUGAGUAACCUGCCCUUGACUUUGGGAUAACUUCAGGAAACUGGGGCUAAUACCGGAUAGGAGCUCCUGCUGCAUGGUGGGGGUUGGAAAGUUUCGGCGGUUGGGGAUGGACUCGCGGCUUAUCAGCUUGUUGGUGGGGUAGUGGCUUACCAAGGCUUUGACGGGUAGCCGGCCUGAGAGGGUGACCGGCCACAUUGGGACUGAGAUACGGCCCAGACUCCUACGGGAGGCAGCAGUGGGGAAUAUUGCACAAUGGGCGGAAGCCUGAUGCAGCAACGCCGCGUGCGGUAUGACGGCCUUCGGGUUGUAAACCGCUUUCGCCUGUGACGAAGCGUGAGUGACGGUAAUGGGUAAAGAAGCACCGGCUAACUACGUG
rnacentral:rRNA from 1 species